ACCUAUGUCCUCUCGUUCUUUAUUCCCCUACUCUGGGAUAAAGACUCUGUUCAUCUACCCUACCUAUUCCUGAUAGGAUUCGUUAGAUUGACAUCAAGGGUUGGCGCUGACAUGGUGGGCCGAAUGGCCUGUUCCUGUGCUGUGUUGUUCUAUCUUCUUUGUUAGCAGGGACUUUGAAAAUGCAGCCAGACGCACACUUGAAGAGAAAUGUCUGUGUGGACGGAAUGAGACCGCUUGCCAAAGAGCUGCCACAGCCAUGAUGGGCGGAAUGGCCUCCUGCGGUGUCGCUCCAAGACCUCCACCUCUCCAGCCUGCUGUCAGGAAUGUUCUGACCCAGUUCCAGGACUUCCAUGGGACCGAGUGGCUUUGCACUCUGCUGGCCCUGUUACCCAACGCUGAGGGAUCUCCGAAUCUCCGCUCAAACCAGUCCAGCACAGUCUGAAGAAGGAUCUCGAUCCAUUCCUUCUCUCCAGAGAUGCUGCCUGUCCCGCUGAGUUACUCCAGUGUUUUGUGUCUAUCUUCAACAUCAGAGAGUGUGGCUCUCUGCCAGUUGUGACUGUGGAGGACUCUCGCUGAAAUGGUCUCCGGUCAGCUCGGGUGGAACCUGAUUCAAGCGCUUACGGAAGGCCGGCUGUAACUGGACAAGAUGUAAGGAAGAAGGUCCUUGGAGCAGUGAGGCUGGAACAUGGAUGGAGAGAGAGUCUUUCGCCCCAGCCGCCCUUUGAUACUGGCCCAGCCAUCGACCGACGACUGAAGAGGCUUUGCCACAGUCAGGAGAACAUCAUCUUUGGGUGACGUGGCCUAAACAGAGAUAAGCCUUGGAAAUAGACACAGAACGCUGGAGUAACUCAGCGGGACAGGCACCGUCUCUGGAGGGAAGGGAUGGGUGACGUUUCGGG